rnacentral:lncRNA from 1 species
GCCGAUUAUAAGAUACACAGUUUUCUCUGCUUUCAAAUCUUUCUGUUUGAACCCGUCGAUCUGGAACUUAUCAAUUAUUGGUAAUAUUAAUUAUUUGGAAAACAAAAGGUCAUGGAAUGGAGUAUUUUUUAAUCAACAGCAUUGUCCUAUAUUAGUUAUAAAUAAAGUUGAAUUCUUUGAUUCGCUGUUUUACGUCAUGCCCGCUAACAAAUUGAAAACUGUACCUAUACGCCUUAUUUUUAGUCCAGAUUUUUAGUAUUCGUAUUGUUAUCUUAGAAAGUCUUACUGAUUAAAAUACUACAAUAGCUAACAAUUUGACAAUUUAUUACUGUCAACCCUGUGAUUAUGACCCGUGUAUAUAGCAUAUUAAUCCUGAAUACACCGUUUGUUGGUGCGCCUGUCAGAUGCGGAACGUACAGAUAAGGUAAUAGGUAACAGGUGAAUAUACUAUUGGUAUCGGUAUCGGACUCGACCCGGAACUUCUUAAUUAUUGGCAAUAUUAAUUACGUGGAAAACAAAAGUGCUUGGAGUGGUGUAAUUUUUAAUCUACAGCUUUGUACUAUAUUAGUUAUAUAUCAAGUUGAAUUCUUUGAUUC